GACGAACGCUGGCGGCGUGCUUAACACAUGCAAGUCGAACGGUGAAGGUGGAGCUUGCUCCGCCGGAUCAGUGGCGAACGGGUGAGUAACACGUGGGCAACCUGCCCCAGACUUCGGGAUAACUCCUCGAAAGAGGCGCUAAUACCGGAUACGAGUUCUGCAGGCAUCUGCGGAAUUGGAAAGUUCUUCGGUCUGGGAUGGGCCCGCGGCCUAUCAGCUUGUUGGUGAGGUAACGGCUCACCAAGGCGACGACGGGUAGCCGGCCUGAGAGGGCGCCCGGCCACACUGGGACUGAGACACGGCCCAGACUCCUACGGGAGGCAGCAGUGGGGAAUAUUGCGCAAUGGGCGAAAGCCUGACGCAGCAACGCCGCGUGCGGGAUGAAGGCCUUCGGGUUGUAAACCGCUUUCAGCAGGGAAGAAGCGAAAGUGACGGUACCUGCAGAAGAAGCACCUGCUAACUACGUGCCAGCAGCCGCCGCCG
rnacentral:rRNA from 1 species